GAAUUUCUGUAACGGGGAAGGAUGAGAAGCUUCGACUAAGGUUCGAUUCGAGCGUAGCGAGAAAGCGUUGCCGCAGGCAACGACCCGAAGGGCGAGGCGCAACGCGCCGAGUCAUCCUUCCCCCACCACCA
rnacentral:sRNA from 1 species